UACCAGCACCCCGAGUGUUCGGGACGAUUAUUGGGCCUAAAGCAUCCGUAGCCGGUUCUCCAAGUCUUCCGUUAAAUCCACCUGCUUAACAGAUGGGCUGCGGAGGAUACCAUAGCGCUAGGAGGCGGGAGAGGCAAGCGGUACUUAGUGGGUAGGGGUAAAAUCCGUUGAUCCAUUGAAGACCACCAGUGGCGAAGGCGGCUUGCCAGAACGCACUCGACGGUGAGGGAUGAAAGCUGGGGGAGCAAACCGG
rnacentral:rRNA from 1 species